rnacentral:rRNA from 1 species
ACGGGGCGCAGCAGGCGCGAAAACUUUACAAUGCGGGAAACCGCGAUAAGGGGAUACCGAGUGCCAGCAUAUUAUGUUGGCUGUCCACAUGUGUAAACGGCAUGUGUUAGCAAGGGCCGGGCAAGACCGGUGCCAGCCGCCGCGGUAACACCGGCGGCCCGAGUGGUAAUCACUUUUAUUGGGUCUAAAGGGUCCGUAGUCGGUUUGAUCAGUUCUUCGGGAAAUCUGACAGCUCAACUGUUAGGCUUCCGGGGAUUACUGUCAGACUUGGGACCGGGAGAGGUAAGAGGUACUACAGGGGUAGGAGUGAAAUCUUGUAAUCCCUGUGGGACCACCAGUGGCGAAGGCGUCUUACCAGAACGGGUCCGACGGUGAGGGACGAAAGCUGGGGGCACGAACCGGAUUAGAUACCCGGGUAGUCCCAGCCGUAAACGAUGUUCGCUAGGUGUCAGGGACGGUGCGACCGUUUCUGGUGCCGUAGGGAAGCCGUGAAGCGAACCACCUGGGAAGUACGGCCGCAAGGCUGAAACUUAAAGGAAUUGGCGGGGGAGCAC